rnacentral:rRNA from 1 species
GAUGAACGCUGGCGGCGUGCCUAAUACAUGCAAGUCGAGCGAACGGACGAGAAGCUUGCUUCUCUGAUGUUAGCGGCGGACGGGUGAGUAACACGUGGAUAACCUACCUAUAAGACUGGGAUAACUUCGGGAAACCGGAGCUAAUACCGGAUGAUAUUUUGAACCGCAUGGUUAAAAAGUGAAAGACGGUCUUGCUGUCACUUAUAGAUGGAUCAGCGCUGCAUUAGCUAGUUGGUAAGGUAACGGCUUACCAAGGCAACGAUGCAUAACCGACCUGAGAGGGUGAUCCGCCACACUGGAACUGAGACACGGCCCAGACCCCUACGGGUGGCCGCGGUAGGGAAUCUUCCGCGAUGGGCGAACGCCUGACGGAGCAACGCCGCGUGAGUGCUGAUGGUCUUCGGAUCGUAAAACUCUGUUAUUAGGGAAGAACAUAUGUGUAAGUAGCUGUGCUCAUCUUGACGGUACCUAAUCAGAAAGCCACGGCUAACUACGUG